GCGGUCCCGGCUCCUUGCCCGCGGCGUCGCGGGAAGGGCCGGCCGCCGGGGUCGGCCGUCGCCGCGGGGCGUCCCGCCUCCCCCCCCGCCGCGCGGCGGGCGGAGGCGGGUUAGCCCCGCGCCUGCGCGGCGCCGUUCCCCGCCCCAGGCGCCGCCGGGCCGCCACGUGGCCGGCCGCCGCCGCCACCGCCGGCGCCCGUCGCCGCCACGCCGCCGCCGCCGGCACGCCCGUGAUGCCGCUCCCGCGGGUCGGAGCGGUGAAAAGAGCCGGGGCGGUCAGGGGUUGGCGGGGGCGGUCCCGCCGGCGGCGGGUCCGGGCGUCCGCGCGCUGGCGCGCCUUGCCGCGGCGCCGCCGUGGGUGGCGGC
rnacentral:misc_RNA from 1 species